rnacentral:rRNA from 1 species
GCCAUGGCGGAGACGCGGCGUACGGCUCAGUAACACGUGGCUAACCUAGCCUUGGGACGGGGACAACCCCGGGAAACUGGGGCUAAUCCCCGAUGGGCGAGGAGUCCUGGAACGGUUCCUCGCCGAAAGGGCGUCUGAACCAUGCUUUUAGACGUUGCCCGAGGGUGGGGCCGCGGCCGAUCAGGUUGUUGGUGAGGUAACGGCUCACCAAGCCUAUAACCGGUACGGGCCGUGAGAGCGGGAGCCCGGAGAUGGGAACUGAGACAAGGUCCCAGGCCCUACGGGGCGCAGCAGGCGCGAAAACUCCGCAAUGCACGAAAGUGUGACGGGGCUAUCCCGAGUGCUGUCCGCUGAGGACGGCUUUUCCAUGGUGUAAGGAGCCAUGGGAAUAAGGAGAGGGCAAGUCUGGUGUCAGCCGCCGCGGUAAUACCAGCUCUCCGAGUGGUAGGGAUGAUUAUUGGGCUUAAAGCGUCCGUAGCCUGCCCUUCAAGUCUCUCGUUAAAUCCAGCGAUCUAAUCGCUGGACUGCGGGAGAUACUGUUGGGCUAGGGGGCGGGAGAAGCCGACGGUAUUCUCGGGGUAGGGGUGAAAUCCUAUAAUCCCGGGAGGACCACCAGUGGCGAAGGCGGUCGGAAAGAACGCGCUCGACGGUGAGGGACGAAAGCUGGGGGAGCGAACCGGAUUAGAUACCCGGGUAGUCCCAGCUGUAAACGAUGCGGGCUAGGUGUUGGGGGGGCUACGUGCCUCUCCAGUGCCGCAGGGAAGCUAUUAAGCCCGCCGCCUGGGGAGUACGGCCGCAAGGCUGAAACUUAAAGGAAUUGGCGGGGGAGCACCACAAGGGGUGAAGCUUGCGGUUUAAUUGGAGUCAACGCCGGGAACCUUACCGGGGGCGACAGCAGGAUGAAGGCCAGGUUGAUGGCCUUGCUGGACGAGCUGAGAGGAGGUGCAUGGCCGUCGCCAGUUCGUGCCGUGAGGUGUCCUGUUAAGUCAGGUAACGAUAGAGACCCACGUCCCCUGUUGCCAGCGGGUCCCGUUGGGAUGCCGGGCACACGGGGGGGACUGCCGCCGAUAAGGUGGAGGAAGGGGUGGGCCACGGCAGGUCAGUAUGCCCCGAAUCCCCCGGGCCACACGCGAGCUGCAAUGGCGGGGACAAUGGGUUCCGACCUCGAAAGGGGAAGGUAAUCCCGAAACCCUGCCUCAGUUGGGAUCGAGGGCUGUAACCCGCCCUCGUGAACAUGGAAUCC